AGAGAGGUGCUCGAGUGGUUGAAGAGGCUACCCUGGAAAGGUAGUAUACGGGUGACCGUAUCGUGGGUUCGAAUCCCAUCCUCUCUGCUA
rnacentral:tRNA from 1 species